CCAAAGAAGAAUCUUUGUUAGGUGUUUGCAGUUUAUUCGUUCUGAUUCAGUCCUCACAUGUAUGCUAAUUGGUGGAUGGCCGUAUGAUUGGAGAUCCUGUUUAACUGGAUGCAUGAUAAAGGCGUAUGGCCAGAUGAAUAGGGGCUAAUGGGCAUGUGUCCGACCGCCAGGCUGGGCUGAGUUCUGUAGCUGCCUUAGCCCUGGAGGUAGAUGCAUGAAGUGGAGAAGCCAUGGCAGUUGCAGCGGUAAAUGGCUGCAGGAGGAACCUCAGCCCAUCCCAUCCCCUGCACUCGUCAUCAGCGGGCUGAGGCGGCGCAUGUGGGGGCCGGUGACGUGUUAGUAGUCAAAUGGAAAGCAGAGAAAAACAAAGAAAGGGUGAAUGGAG